rfam:Schistosoma margrebowiei strain Zambia genome assembly, scaffold: SMRZ_scaffold0001023
AUCCAGCUGACGAGUUCCGAAUAGGACGGAAUGUACAUCCUAGAU